UACGGAGGGAGCUAGCGUUGUUCGGAAUUACUGGGCGUAAAGCGCGCGUAGGCGGCUUUGUAAGUUAGAGGUGAAAGCCCGGGGCUCAACCCCGGAACUGCCUUUAAGACUGCAUCGCUUGAAUCCGGGAGAGGUGAGUGGAAUUCCGAGUGUAGAGGUGAAAUUCGUAGAUAUUCGGAAGAACACCAGUGGCGAAGGCGGCUCACUGGACCGGUUCUGACGCUGAGGAGCGAAAGCGUGGGUAGCAAACAGG
rnacentral:rRNA from 1 species